rnacentral:misc_RNA from 1 species
GUGCCUAGAGUGGAGGAAACUGAGAGCAUCAGCGACGUCUUUCACCACCUUAAACCGCCGAGUCCAGGGAAGCACGCCAACUCCGAACAACCACUUAUCUAAGCUUCCAUUUGGAUAGAAUUCGUACAAAACCAUAGUUUCUCGAUUGUCCUGACACCAUCCUCUAAUGGGAACCAAAUUGGGGUGACGAACUCGGCUCAUGGCACUGAUUUCUUUGAGUAAUCUUCGCCUAUCUAA